rnacentral:lncRNA from 1 species
CACUUCAAUUUCUUUAUUUCCAGCCGCCUUUUGUCCAGUUCCAAUUCCUUCAGUUGCUUCGACUUUCGGUGGGAAUGGUAUAUGUAUCCAAAUCAGCUUUUAGCUCAACAAUUACUCCCCCAGCAACUGACCGAAUUUAUUAAUUACGCUACUCAAUUCCCCGGCUCCAAUCUGAUUUCGGCUUUCCGUGUGAAUAUAUAUACAAUUUAUUCCAGCCGUUUUUCUGCUAUCUAAGGUCUGCAGUUAAGCCCCCGUUUUUGUGCGUGUAUCCCCCC